rnacentral:misc_RNA from 1 species
GAAAAAAAAAAUGGAGAGCUACCCAUUGUACUCGUACGUAUGACUCAAAAGCUGAACAUAUACAAUCAGUCAACAACCACAUUGAAAGCUUUUUGCACGUGUAAAAAACUGACGUGUAGUAAUGAAGAACCCUUAUAUGUUCACCUUUUCAGCCAUUGAUGAUUUGAUUGGAAGGUCGUUAGAAAUUUGAAAUUUGUUUGUUUUAUUGAAUUUUUUUUUAUUGUGAGGUGGUUUUGUUGAUUUUCUUUUUUAUCUUGGAUUUGUUGGUAUUUGUUGACUUUUUAUUUUGUUUUUU